rnacentral:rRNA from 1 species
AUGAGGACCUUGUGCUGGAACUGCCGCGGGAUUGGCGACCCCGUGACGGUUCGAGAGCUCCACGACCUUGUGGAGGCUAGUGUGCCAUCGAUUGUUUGUAUUGUUGAAACUCAACUUGCAAAAGAUCGAGUGGAAGGUUUGGCGGGUACUCUAGGUUUCUCUAGAAGGUUUGCAGUAGCUAGCAGGGGCGUAGUGGAGGUUUAG